rnacentral:rRNA from 1 species
GUGCGUGUUUAUGGCGGCGAGGGUACACCUGUUCCCAUCCCGAACACAGCAGUUAAGCUCGCUUGCGGUGACAAUACUUGGCUGGAGACGGCCCGGGAAGAUAACUCAAUGCGCACA